UGAAAGCAUUGGAGAUGCAAAUCAAUUACAAUGAUUAGACGGGUUACCUCAUUUGAUUGU
rnacentral:tRNA from 1 species